rnacentral:rRNA from 1 species
UUAGGGGUUUCUGGUUUUUCAAGAAAUGAAUUUAAUUCAUACGUCUUAUUUAGAGUUUUAUUAUUUGUUUAUUUAUUUUUAUUUGGCGUUAAGAUUGGGAGGGAUUAGCUUCUUAUUUUAUUUUUAUAAUUUUUUGUUUAUUUAGUCUUGUGGGUUUUAUAGUGAUUUUCAAUUUGAUUAUGUUAAAAUUUUAUUUGUUUUGUUCUGUUAUUUUUAUUUGUUUAAUUAUUUAUUGAAAUGUAUUCAUUUCUGGUUUAUGGAUAGUAAUUAUUGUAGAAUUAGUAAAUUUGUUGUUAGGUUGUUUUAUUUGUGUUAAUUUUCUUUGAGGAACUAGGCAAAUUUCAUGUCCGCCUGUUUAACAAAAACAUCUUUUCUUGUUAGUUUUUGAAGUAUGGCCUGCCCGCUGACUUUGGUGUUGAAGGGCCGCGGUAUUUUGACCGUGCAAAGGUAGCAUAGUCAUUAGUUCUUUAAUUGUGAUCUGGUAUGAAUGGCUUGACGAGGCAUGGGCUGUCUUAAUUUUGAAUUGUUUAUUGAAUUUGGUCUUUGAGUUAAAAUUCUUAGAUGCUUUUAUGGGACGAGAAGACCCUAUAGAGUUUAACAUUUGUUAUGGUCCCCUUUCUGUUUGUGAGGGUUCAUUGGGCCGUUUAAUAUGUUUUGUUGGGGUGAUGGGAGGGAUUAAUUUAA